GGCAUUGGCAGCUGACUUUUAUAAGUUCUACGGCUAAUUUAUUCUACAGACCUGUGUGAAGAGGCCCAGGACUCUAAGGAAAUCACAGAAUCUCACAGAAAAUCAUUUGUCUACAGCCCAUGCGUGUGUGGCGUGGCCCCUGCAGGCACGGUGCUGAGCACGUCCUGUGGCCUGUCCCAGCUACGCCUCACUACAGCCCUCAGAGGGAAGCCAGAAAGGACGAGGUGACCUCCUCAGGCGGGCCUCCAGGAAGCCGCCCUAAGGACACCUGGACCCACACCACAGUCUCCUGAAGCAAACGGAGAAGCCCUUCUUGACAGCCUAUGCAGCUCACUGUGCAAACGGA